GUUCGGAACAGUACAAGCUACAUGGUGUUGAAGGUAAGACGUGAAGUUACAGCGUAUACCUGAAGACUGAAUUCGAAGUGUCUACAACGCGAAGACGUCUUCUUUAUCGCCGAGAAGUUGAAGGAAGCAGCCACCGCAGCUCUGACCAGACUUUCCACCAACUGAGAGGAUGUAGUUUCGUGACUGGUCGGGGGAAAUCUGGUGACCACAGCUCCGAUCGUGAAGACCAGCAGAAGCAAGUUGACUGUACAAUGUUCCAGGACCCACUCUCCGACGGCCAGGAGGGAGGGGAAGAUUUCCUCGGCCGUGGGCAGGAUCUGGUCGGGCGGCAGGAGGAAGGCGUACCGCCCAGUGUCCCGCAGCUCCACGAUGUACGAGUACUUGAUCCCCGCCUUGUCGUAGGUCCAGUCCUGAGAAUCUCCCGACACUUGGUCUAUGUGGGU